CCAGAACCUGAGAGGACAGGAAGGCCCGCGCCGCCCCCAACGCAUCGUGGUACUGAUCCGGGAAUACCGCUUCUGGAGCUAGACGAUUUAACGAACAGUGGAACAGAAACAUCCUGAGGAUGGAUGCAGGGAGAGAAAGUUCAGGUGUGGAAAACUCAUCUCCUGCAGGGAGUGUUAGUCUCCUGUAUUUUCCCAUCAACCUGUCCUCCACCUCUCUCCCCCUCACUGCAUCCUCACCGCCUUCAUGAAGCUCCGGAACAGCGCGUCCAGCAGCAUCAGCUUCCACGGCUCGCACACUCCUGUCGGUAGCGGCAAGUAGACGUAGUAAGCAGCCGCCGACAGCAGCACGGCUCCGGCCAAACGGAGCCUCAUGGCGGCAGACUGUACCUGCCUAAUGCCAACCGGUAAUACGGUUAUUACCCUCCCCGGUCCAAGGGAAUUGGAAGCUCCGCCAGAGAUCAACGAAAUACAGAGGAUUGACCUUGAUUUCGAAAUAAACCCCGAGCUCGAGGUUUUACGUCUAUAUCAUAGCGAACGAUACACGGAAUGCUCUUAUUUUGAAAAGUAAAAGAGGAAGUAGUGACGGCAUUGUGUAAGGAGGUUGCUGACGGGAAGUGUAGUUUUUUUUCUGAUGGUGGUCAUAAUACGACGAAUAUAUUUAGCCUGUUGCAAAUGGUUGUUUAAGAGUUUGAUUCUUGGGCUCAAAUAUUGUGAUAAAGAUAAUUUAAUAUAUGUAAAUAUUUUUACACUGUUUUAUAACCCAACCUUACGCUAACAAACGAUGUUAAUCAACAGUUCAAUAUUACUGUAUACUGUAAAUUCUGAAAACCUGUGACACAGGAUGUAUGAUAGGAAAUACUAUGGAGAACCAUUUCAUGUAUGCAGAUGAUCUUGUGGUCCUUAAUGUGGUGAUCAGUGAUGGGCCCGUAUUCAAAAACUUUCUUAGAAUCCUCUCAGAGAGCUCCUAACUAGCUUAAAAAAAAAACCUUGCAAGUAUUUAUAGCUUAAGAGUGAUUUAGGAAAGUUUUCAGAGCAACUCUGAGCAAGGAAGAGACAGUAGAAACUUUCAAAUUUUUUCAGAAGCUGUAUUGGUUAAUCUAAAAAAAAUUGAAGUCGUAUAGAAUAAUAGUCAGACAUUUGUGUAAUUAUGAACACUAUGAAAUUAGUAUCUGUGUAAUAAUAUAGGCUACUUUAAAAGUAUACAGCCUACAAGAUGUUUGAAAUAACAUGUCCACUUGUGCAGCAGCUUCUUGACCUGCUGAUCGUUACAUCAGCAGGUGAAGAGCCUUAAUUAGUGAUUGGAUGCACCUGUGGAGGUAACACCAUGUAGAGAAGCUCAACAUGCAUUUCUCACUUUGAACUGCAUAAAGUCAAAGAUGGAUUGAAAUGUGUGCAUAAAUAAUUUUUGUCUGUUGGGCCCAACUAUGAUUCAAAAAUACUCUUCAUGUAGUGUUUGAUAAACAUUUCCCUGUUUUAUCCUCAGUUUGAGGAAGUCUUAAGCCUGUUAGAAGUCCUCCUCACAUUGUUACACCUUAGGAGCUCUCUGAAGGGCUGCGAUGCUUUGUGAUUAACUCUCAUUUUAAAAGGAUCUAGUCUGAACUUUGAGGGCAAAUUCUUAGAAAAUGUCCUGAUUCUAGAAUUUUGUCACUAGGGGCAACUCUUUGGAGGCUUCGUGAAUACGGCCCCAGCACACUUUCAAUCCAAGAUAUGGAAACUCUGUUGAAGUUGUAGGCUAUCGUCAGAGGGCAAUAUUUUAUACCAUACCUUACCAUUUAUGUUGCAUGUUUGUAUACUUUGUAAUUUAUGUAUUGUCUUAUCUGGAUCCUGUGUCUAUAAUAAAGUUUUGAUAGAUUUUUG